GUUCUUAGAGUGGGGUUCUUAGCUUCGGUUAAGAACCGUUUCUUAGCUUUUAACUAAGAAAAGCUAAGAACCGGCUCUUAAAUAAGAGAUAUAAAAACUGGUUUUUAGCCGAAAAGCGUAAAAAAAAAAAACAAAAAAGUGUCAAAUCAUAAAUUAAGAAUCCUAAAUUAAGAACCCGGUUAAUCAUGCUCUUAGGAGCAUUGUUUUACGUUUACAUCAACAUUUUAAAAUCGUUUGGUGCUUGUGUUUGGAGGCGUGUUAGGAAUGAACUCAAUCACUCCACUGGUACCGUAUAAUACAAGAUUACUUAGAUGCCAAUUAAGGCCCCUUAUCGAAGCUAAGAGAAUUUGUGAAGAACAAAUUACUAAAACAAAACAAAUUACAACAGUUUCUCUUCUUCUUCGUUAUCUUCCCAAUUCAUGCUUAAAUACAAAACUAAAUAAACAAACUAACUACCACGUGAACAUGUGCAACUAGCACAUCCACUACACUCUCCACUAAACAAAACAUAAAUUAAGAUAAACGUUUGACUACUCAUUAUUUUGAUCUAAGGCCACGUCAUCGUCUUCUCCACAUUGUAUCUCAUCAAUACUUGUAGUAGAUGUGCUAGUCUGUUUUGGCGGCUCUAUCUCUUCCACUGUCACUUUUUCUGCACUGAUUCCAAUCAUCAGCUGUUUGUUAUAUGCAACGCAAAGAACGCACCGUUUACACCAUAUUAUUGGGUAGUGAAACACUGAAAUAGAAGGUAUUUACCAGAACUUCAUAUUUAAUUAUCACAAGAAUAGAAGCUCAGAUUUUGGGGAAUAAGCUUCCCUGAUAUUUUUUUUUGUUCAAUGUCGAUCAUGGGAUUCUGUAUGAUUGUAUUCUAAAGUUUAGUUUAAAAAAAUGUCUUGCUAAGUAUAAUGGGAACCGCACAAUGUUGUAAGCUUUAUUUCUUCCUACUGAUAGCUCAUGUAUCCUGAA